rnacentral:rRNA from 1 species
UACGUAGGGUGCGAGCGUUAAUCGGAAUUACUGGGCGUAAAGUGUGCGCAGGCGGCCGAGCAAGUCGAGUGUGAAAGCCCCGAGCUUAACUUGGGAACUGCGCUACGAAACUACUUGGCUAGAGUGUGGCAGAGGGAGGUGGAAUUCCACGUGUAGCGGUGAAAAUGCGUAGAGAUGUGGAGGAACACCGGAUGGCGAAGGCAGCCUCCUGGGCCAACACAUGACGCUCAUGCACGAAAGCG